rnacentral:rRNA from 1 species
AGAAUCAACGCUGGCGGCGUGCCUAACACAUGCAAGUCGAACGCGAAAGCCCCGCAAGGGGCAAGUAGAGUGGCAAACGGGUGAGUAACACGUGGGUGACCUGCCUUCGAGUGGGGGAUAACGUCCCGAAAGGGACGCUAAUACCGCAUGACAUCCUGCUUUUGGAAAAGCGGAAAUUAAAGCCGGGGAUCGCAAGACCUGGCGCUUGAAGAGGGGCCCGCGGCUGAUUAGCUAGUUGGUGAGGUAACGGCUCACCAAGGCAACGAUCAGUA